rnacentral:tRNA from 1 species
CGGGGUGUGGCUCAGCCCGGUAGAGCGCCUCGUUCGGGACGAGGAGGUCGGAGGUUCGAAUCCUCUCACCCCGA